rnacentral:sRNA from 1 species
UGGAAGAGAUUUAAUUCUUCGAGGCCGC